AUUGAACGCUGGCGGCAGGCUUAACACAUGCAAGUCGAGCGCGCGGCGGACGGGUGAGUAAUGUCUGGGAAACUGCCUGAUGGAGGGGGAUCACUAAUGGAAACGGUAGCUAAUACCGCAUACCAUCAGAUGUGCCCAGAUGGGAUUAGCUAGUAGGUGGGGGAAUGGCUCACCUAUGCGACGAGCCCUAGCUGGUCUGAGAGGAUGACCAGCCACAAUGGGACUGAGACACGGUCCAGACUCCUACGGGAGGCAGCAGUGGGGAAUAUUGCACAAUGGGCGCAAGCCUGAUGCAGCCAUGCCGCGUGUAUGAAGAAGGCCUUCGGGUUGUAAAGCACUUUCAGCUGGGAGGCGUUACUCACAGAAGAAGCACCGGCUAACUCCGUGCCAGCAGCCGCGGUAAUUC
rnacentral:rRNA from 1 species